GUGCACGCUGGCGGUAGGCCUAACACAUGCAAGUCGAACGGCAGCACAGUAAGAGCUUGCUCUUACGGGUGGCGAGUGGCGGACGGGUGAGGAAUACAUCGGAAUCUACUUUUUCGUGGGGGAUAACGUAGGGAAACUUACGCUAAUACCGCAUACGACCUACGGGUGAAAGCAGGGGAUCUUCGGACCUUGCGCGAUUGAAUGAGCCGAUGUCGGAUUAGCUAGUUGGCGGGGUAAAGGCCCACCAAGGCGACGAUCCGUAGCUGGUCUGAGAGGAUGAUCAGCCAGACUGGAACUGAGACACGGUCCAGACUCCUACGGGAGGCAGCAGUGGGGAAUAUUGGACAAUGGGCGCAAGCCUGAUCCAGCCAUACCGCGUGAGUGAAGAAGGCCUUCGGGUUGUAAAGCCCUUUUGUUGGGAAAGAAAAGCAGCAGGUUAAUACCCCGCUGUUCUGACGGUACCCAAAGAAUAAGCACCGGCUAACUUCGUG
rnacentral:rRNA from 1 species